GAAUUUUCCGCAAUGGGCGAAAGCCUGACGGAGCAAUACCGCGUGAGGGAAGACAGCCCUCCGGGUCGUAAACCUCUUUUCUUGGAGAAGAAUACAUGACGGUAUCCAAGGAAUAAGCAUCGGCUAACUCCGUGCCAGCAGCCGCGGUAAUACGGAGGAUGCAAGCGUUAUCCGGAAUCACUGGGCGUAAAGCGUCUGUAGGUGGCUUAAUAAGUCAACUGUUAAAUCUUGAGGCUCAACUUCAAAAUCGCAGUCGAAACUAUUAGACUAGAGUAUAGUAGAGGUAAAGGGAAUUUCCAGUGGAGCGGUGAAAUGCGUAGAUAUUGGAAAGAACACCGAUGGCGAAGGCACUUUACUGGGCUAUCACUGACACUCAGAGACGAAAGCUAGGGUAGCAAAUGGGAUUAGAUACCC
rnacentral:rRNA from 16 species